UAUAUAUAUAUAUAUAUACACACACACACACGUAUGAAGGGGGAAGUGGUGAUGUAGCUAAUUGUUUAGGUUGCUAAUUGCUACAUAUAUAGCAAAAUAUUUUUAAAUUGAAUCCAUAAAAUCUCAAGGCAUGGGCGUUUGUGUGGGUCAACUCAUGUGAAGGUGGGAAGAAGAUUCAUAGGGAGGGAGGGUGGGCAAUUAUGUGUCCUUUGUAUGUUGGUAAUUGAUAUGGGUAUGGGACCCAAAAGGAUGAAGCAGGGUUCACAUGAGUGUGGAC
rnacentral:lncRNA from 1 species